rnacentral:rRNA from 1 species
UACGAAGGGGGCUAGCGUUGCUCGGAAUCACUGGGCGUAAAGCGCACGUAGGCGGAUUGCUAAGUCAGGGGUGAAAUCCUGGAGCUCAACUCCAGAACUGCCUUUGAUACUGGCGAUCUCGAGUCCGGGAGAGGUGAGUGGAACUGCGAGUGUAGAGGUGAAAUUCGUAGAUAUUCGCAAGAACACCAGUGGCGAAGGCGGCUCACUGGCCCGGUACUG